rnacentral:rRNA from 1 species
CAGUAGCCGCGGGAAAACGGAGGGAGCUAGCGUUGUUCGGAAUUACUGGGCGUAAAGCGCGCGUAGGCGGUUACUCAAGUCAGAGGUGAAAGCCCGGGGCUCAACCCCGGAACUGCCUUUGAAACUAGGUGACUAGAAUCUUGGAGAGGUCAGUGGAAUUCCGAGUGUAGAGGUGAAAUUCGUAGAUAUUCGGAAGAACACCAGUGGCGAAGGCGACUGACUGGACAAGUAUUGACGCUGAGGUGCGAAAGCGUGGGGAGCAAACAGGAUUAGAUACCCGAGUAGUCCCUGUCUCUUAUAC